rnacentral:rRNA from 1 species
AUUCCUCCUUUCUGAAGAACUGUAAUGUCAUUAAUUUGGUGUUGCAGGGAAACAGGACUGUUACUUUGAAAAAAUUAGAGUGUUUAAAGCAGGCUAACGCUUGAAUACAUUAGCAUGGAAUAAUGAAAUAGGACGUUCGAUCCUAUUUUGUUGGUUUCUAGGAUUGACGUAAUGAUUAAUAGGGAUAGUUGGGGGCAUUAGUAUUCAAUUGUCAGAGGUGAAAUUCUUGGAUUUAUUGAAGACUAACUACUGCGAAAGCAUUUGCCAAGGAUGUUUUCAUUAAUCAAGAACGAAAGUUAGGGGAUCGAAGACGAUCAGAUACCGUCGUAGUCUUAACCAUAAACUAUGCCGACUAGGGAUCGGAUGAUGUUAAUUUUUUAAUGACUCAUUCGGCGCCUUACG